ACCCACAAUAUGAAACCUCCAUUAUCCUCUCAACUCCUACAAUUCCACCAAAUUUCCCAAAUCCAUCUUGCAAAACCUCAAUCGUUGACACCAAAUUGUAACAUCUCGAUGCCGCUUCUUCUGCUGUACCAAAAACUAGCACUAUCCCAAGAACCACUACUGUUCCCUCAAUUCCAUCCCUCAAACCUUCAAUUGUCGGUACCAAACCGAGGCAACUCGAUGCCGCUUCUCUUGUUGUAACCGGAAAAUCGAACACCAUCAUCGACGACGCUUCUCCAGCUGUACCAAAAAAAUGUCGAAGACAAUGGCUCCCAUCUGCGAUGAUUCUCUAUCUUGCAAGCGAUAGUACGCAUGUUGUUCGAUUUACAUUAAACUGCUUUAUUUUGCCCAGUGAAUAUAUAACAAAUGAGAUUUAGAUGAGAGAGUGAGAGUGAGAGUGAGAGUGAGAGGCCUUGAGUCAAAUGUAUUUUGUCUAUUUCGUUUAUCGAACCCUCACACCGGUAUGAACGACUCUGUUCAAUGGUGCCUUGUUACAGUUGCUAGUUCAAUUCUCAAUUUAUGAUAUUUUUUCCCUAUUUAUUUCAUAUUCAUUCAUCUUUGUCACUUGCCUGAAGUAGGAACGAUGGAUUUAAUUCUCUAAAAC
rnacentral:lncRNA from 1 species